rnacentral:misc_RNA from 1 species
GAUGAAGAACGUAGCGAAAUGCGAUACUUGGUGUGAAUUGCAGAAUCCCGUGAACCAUCGAGUCUUUGAACGCAAGUUGCGCCCGAAGCCACUAGGCCGAGGGCACGCCUGCCUGGGCGUCACACGCCGUUGCCCCCCCAUCUACUCCUUCGGGAUUGCGGGGGGGCGGAUGAUGGCCUCCCGUGCGCCUAGCCGCGCGGUUGGCAUAAAUACCAAGUCCUCGGCGACGCACGCCACGACAAUCGGUGGUUGCGAAACCUCGGUUGCCCGUCGUGUGCGUUCGUCGCGCAUCGAGGGCUCGAAAAAAUGCUCGGCUCCGGCUGGGCUUUCAACGCGACCCCAGGUCAGGCGGGGUUACCCGCUGAAUUUAAGCAUAUCAAUAGCGGAGGA